CAGCCCCAGACGAGAAGGAAAGAGUCUGAAGGACAGGAGGGUCCUUGGAGAGACAGGGACAUAGUCUGUGUGGCCCAGGAGGAGCUACGAUUGAAAUCAAGAGGUUUUGGAGACGUGGACCUGAAUAAAUCGGAUGUAUGGAAAAAGGGCAGCAAAACCCCAAGAAGUUGCCUUCUGUUCUCAGACAACAGUGGAUGGACAGGCUCUUCCAGUUUGGUAAGGAAUCUAUGCAAGUGAAUGCUGGAAAAGGAGGCUGUCCUGCUAGCAUCUGGCAUCAGUAGACCCUUCUAGAACUACUUCACCGUCACCCGCCAUGCUCUAGAGGUUGUGGCUAAGGGUGUGGGUUCUGCAGUCAGACACAUGGGAUUGAAGUCAUCAUCCCAUCGCCUGUCCACGGAGAUACCUUGGGAAGCCACCUUGUCACCUGGGCCUCAGUUAUCCUUGGAAACCCAGGAUAACACUGGUAACUAUCUCCUCUGAUCACUGGAAGAGCAAUCGAUAACCGAUAUAGUAAUGGCACUGAGAAUCUGGAAGACUCAAGAAAGUUCUGGAUGCUUAAAGUUCUCAAAUGACUCUUCUAUAGCAUGAGCCAGGAAGUUGGCACAAUUUUGCUUCAGAUAAGACUGAUGUGAACUGAUAAACAAAAUCACAAACAGGAUACAGAGAAGUCCAGCUUUAUGCCCCAGUACAUCGUCAUCCCUCCUUGCCUCAAAAGCAGCCCGUCCAAGGCAAUUUUCCUUCGUGCUGUCUUCACCACGGAAACAGAUUUCCCUCCUUCCCCACAUCCAAUUUCUUGUUUUAACCCCUCGUCUGAAAAUCGUCUUAAUCUCAGCACAUACCAAACUAGAAAAGGCAAGUAUUUUAUAAGGAAAAGGUCUCUUUAGAUACGAUACAAUCUACCUUCUAUCCAUUAAUUUCAGGAUACUGUAGUCUUACUUCUUCUCACAGCAAAGAGCCUGAUCUCAAGUUUGUAGGAUGUAAACUUUAUUUAAAGAUUCAGAUUGGUGGGAGAGGGCUGUAUGUCAGGAUGUCUUUAGGCAAUUCGCCAAUGCAAUCAGGUUUUAAUUCCUGGCAUUUUCAUUUUCCCUGAACCGAAAGCCGAUCCAGGGAACGGCGAAUGAAGUGCAUCUCAGGGCUUCCAUUUCAGAUUAAAACCAUUUUUUUUUUUUAUUAAUGUCUCCGCUCAUCUGUGGGUUUGCCUCAGAGCCAUUGCUCUGCUCUUACGUGCUCAUGUUGGAAAAACGUAGACUGCGUGCUUCAGUCACCGAGAAGAGCUUGCUGUGUGAUUUCAUCCCACCGCUUUCUAUGGAAGCAAGUCUGAUCUCUCGGCGUGACAGGGAAAACGCUUCACAUCUUAUUAGCUAGUGGAUGAGAUAUAAAAUCAGUUUCAUGGUAGAGGAACACCCUGGAGGUUGAUCAGUUUGUCAGAAUAAAUAGGCCUUUCCUGACACAAAGACAUUAACUUCCCUUUCACACUGUACUACAAAGAAUGGACUGAAAAAAUAACAGAAAGGGAAGAGCACAGAAAUGAAGGCCUCGCCAUUUCAGCCUGGCAAAAGGCAAGCGGAAGCUGCAAGAAUACGCUGGGGAUGAUUUAACACUAAUGUGCUUGUUAAUUUGCUUCUAUGCAGAAAGUAUGACUUAAAUUUAGAGAUGCCAUGCAGUGGGGCCUCCUAGGUAAAUAACUUGAAUCUGUCUCAUACAAAAUGGGGAAAUAUCUAGAAAGUCUGGUUUGAUCUUGAAAAUGUUCAAGUUUUUAAUCGUGUUAUUCAGAAUUCAAACGGGAGCUUGUACAAAUGUUUAGACCCCUCAGUUCCCAAACUGUGCACCAAGGUACUCUGGGGCAUAACAGGCUCUCAGGGGUGCAGUGGGAAAUUUUACAUCUUUGAGGAAAUUACAGUGAUACUAUCUGUUGGAUGCUACGUGAACUACUAACGCACGGUAGUUCAUGAUGUUAUCGUGGCUUGUGCUCUCCUUCUUUUGAUGACAUAUCUUUGCAAAGAUGGGUUUUUGGUUAUUGUGAUAGAAAAACAACUAGCAUGUGAACGAACAUCUGUUUGCUACAGGAGAUGCAGUUAUUUAGGAAUGAAAUAAAAAUCGUUUUUCUUUCAA